rnacentral:tRNA from 1 species
GGGCCCAUAGCUCAGUGGCAGAGCAGCGGACUCAUAAUCCGUCGGUCGUAGGUUCGAACCCUGCUGGGCCCA